rnacentral:rRNA from 1 species
AACGAACGCUGGCGGCAGGCCUAACACAUGCAAGUCGAACGCCCUGGCAACAGGGCGUGACAGACGGGUGAGUAACGCGUGGGAACGUGCCCUUCGGUUCGGAAUAACUCAGGGAAACUUGAGCUAAUACCGGAUACGUUCGAGAGCAGCAAGAUGUAUCGCCGAAGGAUCGGCCCGACGUCCGAUUAGCUAGUUGGCGAGGCAAUGGCGAGCCAAGGCGACGAUCGGUAGCUGGUUUGAGAGGAUGAGCAGACACACUGGGACAGAGACACGGCCCAGACUCCUACGGGAGGCAGCAGUGGGGAAUAUUGGACAAUGGGCGCAAGCCUGAUCCAGCCAUGCCGCGUGAGUGAUGAAGGCCCUAGGGUUGUAAAGCUCGUUCGCCAGGGACGAUAAUGACGGUACCUGGAUAAGAAGCCCCGGCUAACUUCGUGCCAGCCGCCGCCGUAA